ensembl:snRNA U6 U6 spliceosomal RNA
GUGCUCGCUUUGGCAGCACAUAUACUAAAAUUGGAACGAUACAGAGAAGAUUAGCAUGGACCCUGCGCAAGGAUGACACACAAAUUCAUGAAACGUUCCAUAUUUUU